ACGAUUCAUAGCUCCACUGCAGAUACCUCAUUAUAGUCGUACCUUGUUUUUCAGUUGUUUUUUAGUUUAAGAUUUUUUCUUUGCAAGACAGUGCACAUCUUGCACAUCCCCGCACAUCCCAUCAACAGGACUUCUUAAAAAGAAAAUGGCGGAAGCACAAAAUUUUGAAAUGUAACAAUUAGUAGUCGACGAACAGCAAACAAUAGCACGAUCAUGGACACGCACCAUCUUUAAGGGAACUUGGGGUGGCAAUCUGGUUCCUGUGAGAUUUAUUUCGAUCACCGACUGCCGUCAAAAUGUCUUGACUCAUUAUGAAAAGUAUGAAUCCCCUGACAUUUGUUCAUGAAAAUGUUUUUAGGGUUUAUGGGCAUGUCAUUUGUCCCCAGCAAAUUCACAGGUACUUUUUAAUUGAGCAUUUUGAUCGAACGCUGAGACAGCAUUAUUGCGAGCAGGCUUCAACUGCUUCAUUCACGGUGCAAUCAAUCCGGACAACUCUUGGAUCUGUGUACCUAACGAAGCACAGAUCAUUCUAAAGAUCUCCGAAUUUGGGCUGCACAGGAAUCAAACUGCUGCCGAAAAUCGAAUUCGCUGUUUGAGCUCCAAUCAAAGUGAGAAGGAAAUAGUACCUGUAAAUUGCUGUGGAUAAAUGACAUGCACGUAAACCCUUAAAAAAUUUUUAUCAACAAAUGUAGAAGAUUCAUACUUUUCAUAAUGAUUCAAGACAGUAGAUUCAGUCAGUAAUCGAAAUCAUUCUCACAAGAACCGGAUUCCCACCCCAAGUUCCCUUACAGAUGGCCCCUGUCCAUGAUCGUGCUAUUAUUUGCUGUUCGUAAACUACUAAUUGUAACUUUUCAAAAUAUUGUGCUUCCGCCAUUUUCUACACAUGAAGAAGGAAAAAAGUUGAAUUUUAAUUUUAAAAAGAUUUCGUGAAAAAUCAACAAAAAACGUGUGGCCGUGAGAUGAAAUUUAUUAUAAUAAAUGUUCAAAAAAUUGUCAGGACAAUUUAUUCACCAUA